rnacentral:lncRNA from 1 species
UGGUAGUGCACGCCUGUAGUCCCAGCUACUCCAGAGGCUGAGGCAGGAGAGUCGCUUGAACCCGGGAGGUGAAGGUUGCAGUGAGCAGAGAUCGCACCACUGCACUCCAGCCUGGGUGACAGAGCGAGACUGGGACUCCAUCUCAAAAAAUCAUGGAUGAUGAGAGAAAUGAGGCAGUUCCAGGAAGGAGCUCUCAGGAGUGUGCGGGUCGCAGCCGUCAGUGGCAGAGUCCCCAGGCAAGGUCUUUGAGGAGCCACACUUGGCGUGCAGUCUCUGGUAGAGGUGUUUAAUACGACCUGUGUGGAGGCCAUGAGAUGUGGGGCAUGUUUGAAACAACGGGGGCUGUUCAUCCUGCAACAAGGAGCUUUUGGCUGGACAGCCAUAUAACAGGUGUCUUCACUAUUACCAAAGGAUUGUCAGACGCUGGCUUUUGCCGUGUGGCUCCAGAGGCGGCAGAAGUUAUGGGGACACCGCUGUCAGGUUUCUCACUCAAGCAUUGCUCACUCACACGAUGAACGAUGUCCAGAGCUAAGGCGGGCUUGUCCUUGGCAUGUGCCCCUUCACCUGCGGGCAUCGGGGUGCUUGAGAAAGGAGCCUGCGUGGUGUCAGGUUCUUCCAGUGUCUUCACACUCAUCAGAUUCUUGGAUUUGCCUUGAAAAUGAUUUUGAAAAUCAUGGUCAGGUAAGCAUACUUACCUCUUUCUUCUUUAAUUGUAAAUGAAUGAUGGUAGUCGUGUUUAUGGAGUGCUUGUUGUGUGUCAGGCAUGAUGCAUACUGGACUGUGCGUUGUGUGGUCAGAGAUUGAAUCCUCAGCCUCAAGGCAGGUACCCUGCAUCUCCGCCCUGCCGCCGAGAGAGAAGCAGGCCUGCAGGAGCUUGGGGACUUACCUGGACCCACUCAGACCCGGUUCUGCAGGCUUCCUACACCCAAAACAGUGGGCUGCCUUGCCUCCCAAAGUGGCAAGUGUUUCCAGAGGAAUGUUUACUGAUCACAUCAGGCCGUGUGCUCAUUAUCAAAGGCAGGUCUCUGCACUGAAGAAUCAGCCGUCUCCAUAACAGUGUGCUUGUAAUGCUUACAAAAAUAGUUACACAGUUGAGAGAAAUAAUAACUCCCUCUAGGCUUUAUCAUUUUGACAACCUCUGAUUAUUUUCCUGUUAUUGAUUCAGUGGAUAAAGGUUUCCGUUUAAGAGCUUAAGUGCAGCCUUGUGAAUCUUAGUACCUGCCACAUGAUUUACAUAGUUCAGAAGCAGACAUCCCCCUAUAAGGCCUCCUGUUUCAAGAAGCCUCUCUAGAGGUCAGAAGAGCCCACAGCCAAGUUUUAUGGCACCGCACAGGGUGGUAGGAUGGCUCUAAAUACGGCUUCCGAGAGGGUCAAGUGCUCAGCUGGAGCACAGAGAUGUGGUUCCUCCAGACCUACCAGGGAGGACAGCCAGGGAUCGCAUGGUUUUGUAAAUUAAAAUGCCCAAGCUCAGAGGCCUGCAAGGACUUACCUUAAAGCAACAAGCAGGCUGGGUGCGGUGGCUCACAACUAUAAUCCCAGCACUUUGGAAGGCUGAGGUGGGCAGAUCACAAGGUCAGGAGUUCGAGACCAGCCUGGCCAAUAUGGUGAAACCCCAUCUCUACUAAAAAUACAAAUAUUAGCCAGGCAUGGUGGCGGGCGCCUGUAGUCUCAGCUACCUGGGAGGCUGAGGCAGGAAAAUGGCUUGAACCCAGGAGGUGGAGGUUGCAGUGAGCCAAGAUCACGCCACUGCACUCCAGCCUGGGCAACAGAGCGAGACUGCGUCUCAAAUAAAUAAAUAAAGCAACAGGGAGAGUCUGGAUGCAGUGGCUCAUGCCUGUAAUCCCAGCACUUUAGGAGGCCAAGGCAGGCAGAUCACAAGGUCAGGAGUUCAAGACCAACCUGGCCAACAUAGUGAAACCACGUCUCCAUUAAAAAUAUAAAAAUUAGCCAGGCAUGAUGGCCCAUGCCUGUAAUCCCAGCUACUUGAGAGGCUGAGGCACAAGAAUCACUUGAACCUGGGAGGCGGAGGUUGCAGUGAGCUGAGAUUGUGCCGCUGCACUCCAACCUAGGGGGCAAAGCAAGACUCUCAAAAAAACAAAAACGAAAAAACAGGGAGAGUUUUCCUGUUGAUAGUCACCUGGGCUGUUUCCUGUUUGGGGCUUUAUGAAUAAGGCUUCUGUGAACAUUCUUGUGCAAGUCUUUUUAUAGGCAUAGGUUUUUAUUUCAUUUGGAUGAAUAUCUAAAGGCAGAAUGGCUGGGUCAUAUGGCAUGUGAAUGUUUAACUUUAUAAGAACCUACUGGGCUCGGCGCGGUGGCUCACGCCUGUAAUCCCAGCACUUUGGGAGGCCGAGGCAAGCAGAUCACGAGUGUCAGGCCUCUGAGCCCAAGCCAAGCCAUCGCAUCCCCUGUGACUUGCACGUAUACAUCCAGAUGGCCUGAAGUAACUGAAGAUCCACAAAAGAAGUAAAAAUAACCUUAACUGAUGACAUUCCACCAUUGUGAUUUGUUUCUGCCCCACCCUCACUGAUCAAUGUACUUUGUAAUCUCCACCACCCUUAAGAAGUUUCUUUAUAAUUUCCCCCACCCUUAAGAAGGUUCUUUGUAAUUCUCCCCACCCUUGAGAAUGUACUUUGUGAGAUCCACCCCUGCCCGCAAAACAUUGCUCUUAACUUCACCGCCUAUCCCAAAACCUAUAAGAACUAAGAUAAUCCACCACCCUUUGCUGACUCUCUUUUCAGACUCAGCCCGCCAGCACCCAGGUGAAAUAAACAGCCAUGUUGCUCACAC